rnacentral:rRNA from 1 species
CACGUAGGCACCAAGCGUUAUCCGGAUUUAUUGGGCGUAAAGAGCUCGUAGGCGGUUCGGUAAGUCGGGUGUGAAAACUCUGGGCUCAACCCAGAGAGGCCACCCGAUACUGCUGUGACUAGAGUGCGGUAGGGGAGCGGGGAAUUCCUGGUGUAGCGGUGAAAUGCGCAGAUAUCAUGAGGAAUACCAGAGGCGAAGGCGGCUCUCUGGGACGGUACUGACGCUGAGACGCGAAAGCGUGGGGGAGCGAACAGG